GACGAACGCUGGCGGCGUGCCUAAUACAUGCAAGUCGAGCGAUGAAGGAGAUACUUGUAUCUUUUGAAGAGCGGCGAACGGGUGAGUAACGCGUGGGGAAUCUGCCAAUGAGUGGGGGACAACAUUUGGAAACGAAUGCUAAUACCGCAUAAAAUCUAUUGAGACAUCUCAAGAGAUUGAAAGGAACAAUUGUUUCGCUCGUUGAUGAUCCCGCGUUGUAUUAGCUAGUUGGUGAGGUAAGGGCUCACCAAGGCGAUGAUACAUAGCCGACCUGAGAGGGUGAUCGGCCACAUUGGGACGGAGACACGGCCCCAACUGCUACGGGAGGCAGCAGUAGGGAAUCUUCGGCAAUGGACGAAAGUCUGACCGAGCAAUGCCGCGUGAGUGAAGAAGGUUUUCGGAUCGUAAAGCUCUGUUGUUGUUAAAGAACGUUGAUGAGAGUGGAAAGUUCAUCAAGUGACGGUAAACAACCAGAAAGGGACGGCUAACUACGUGCCAGCAGCCGCGGUAA
rnacentral:rRNA from 1 species